UACGGGGGGGGCAAGCGUUGUUCGGAUUUACUGGGCGUAAAGGGCGCGUAGGCGGCCUAUUAAGUCAGCUGUGAAAUCUCCGAGCUUAACUCGGAACUGUCAGCUGAUACUGAUGUGCUAGAGUGCAGAAAGGGCAAUCAGAAUUCUUGGUGUAGCGGUGAAAUGCGUAGAUAUCAAGAGGAAUACCUGAGGCGAAGGCGGGUUGCUAGGCUGACACUGACGCUGAGGCGCGAAAGCCAGGGGAGCAAACGGG
rnacentral:rRNA from 1 species